CAGGUAUCAAAUGAAAUUUCUGAAUUACCGCUGGUUGAUCAGAAAAUAAGGAAAUUGGAUCAAAAUAUUUUAAAUUUAUUGAUUAGUCACUUACGCGAAAACGAGAACAACUACUGAAUAGACGGUAGGACGGGUACUGGAGUAAAGUAAACUAGGAGCUGUUAUUAGAGAUCCGUGGUGACAAUUACUCGCUGCGCCUAUGCUGGAGCAAACUAACACUGAUAACCUAUGCAUGAUGGUUAGCGGCUUCCGUUUUGCGUUUAUUACUCACCUCUCGCCGCCCCUUGCCCCUAAGAUACGUGAAAAAUAUUUUCAAUGACGCUUAUUACAUGUGACCGAUGUUUACUCACUGAGUAAGCAUGUCAGUUCGGUUUAUCUCCAUCUGGAGUAUAUAUUUUUAUCAUUCAGUAUAUUUAUGUAAUUUUUUAUAACCCGGA